rnacentral:rRNA from 1 species
UACGGAGGGUGCAAGCGUUAUCCGGAAUCAUUGGGAUUAAAGGGUCCGCAGGCGGUCUUAUAAGUCAGUGGUGAAAGCCUACAGCUCAACUGUAGAACUGCCAUUGAUACUGUAGGACUUGAAUUCGAUCGAAGUGGGCGGAAUGUGACAUGUAGCGGUGAAAUGCUUAGAUAUGUCACAGAACACCGAUAGCGAAGGCAGCUCACUAGGUCUGGAUUGACGCUCAGGGACGAAAGCGUGGGGAGCAAACAGG